AGCUUAUUAUUCAGCCGUCACCCUCUUACUUCAUUCCAGUAGCCGCCACCAUGGGAACCUCCUCAGUCGCCGUUUGCAUCAUCAAAAGCCGACAACCACCGUCAUGCCUGCUGACUCGUCGAUGAAACGCCACCACCAUUGCUCAGCUGACGGAGGCGCUGUGUGCACCGGGGAACCACCGAGACCGAAGGACCAAGUUGCGUUCGUUGUUGUCUUGGACGUGAGAGCAUAGGUAUCUCAUGGCUUUGGCCGCCAUUUUUUUAGGGUUUCCAGUCAUCGUGGGCCACCUAUAGUGGCGGAGUUGGGAGAGUUGUAGCCUUCAGAUCAUGUUUCGGGUGUGGUCGCAUGACUGAGAAUCAAGAGAACAGUCGCCACCACCGUGAGGUGGUGGCUAUCACCGCAACCACCGCCGUUUUGGGUGCUGCUGCCGUCGCCAGUCACCAUAGGUGGGUGAUUUGGGUUCGUUUUUCAAGCAAGGGAUGAGUAUUCGUGUUUUAUGGGUUGUGUAGUCGGAGAAUGGAGAAGAGAACCACCAUGGCCGCCAGCCAUGGUGGUUGCCGCCAUGAACCACCAUUGUGUGUGUUUAUGUUUUUAGUGUGUGUAUUUUAGUGUAUGUGUGUGUGGAUAAAUUCGGUAUUUCACAUUGUAAAAAAAAGGGAAUAAUGAAAAGAACUUGAAAACCACCACCUUAGGGUGGUGGCUGCCGCCGCCGGCCGCCGUGUCGGGUAGCAAUGUGCCUUGUCUUGA